rnacentral:SRP_RNA from 1 species
GCCGAGCCAACUAGCGAUGGCUUAUGACCCGAGCGGGGGCACUAAGGUGGUGUUGCGGAUGCCUGGAUGUUGCGCUUGGGCCUGGGCCUGUGGUCUGCAUUAAUACGGGCCCGCCCGUUCCAAGUUGCGUAGAUGUGCUUGGGCUCCUGGGCGAAAGCUCUGGGGUGUCCAUGCACCUAGAGUGGCGGGCACUGCGUGAGGCUGGUUUCACAGAGCAGCGAGUACCGCCCGCUUCCAACGGUGGGAGGAUAACGGGCGCUACAGCCCUGGUCCGCUUCCGGCCCAAGCACCUUCCAUGGCAGACCACCAUCUUU